rnacentral:rRNA from 1 species
CACCGCCGCGGUAAUACGGAGGGUGCAAGCGUUAAUCGGAAUUACUGGGCGUGAAGCGCACGCAGGCGGUUUGUUAAGUCAGAUGUGAAAUCCCCGGGCUCAACCUGGGAACUGCAUUUGAAACUGGCAAGCUAGAGUCUCGUAGAGGGGGGUGGAAUUCCAGGUGUAGCGGUGAAAUGCGUAGAGAUCUGGAGGAAUACCGGUGGCGAAGGCGGCCCCCUGGACAAAGACUGACGCUCAGGUGCGAAAGCGUGGGGAGCAAACAGGAUUAGAUACCCCUGUAGUCCCUGUCUCUUAUACA